GGUCGGCGUGAAGCGAGCCACAUAAACGUGGUGCGUUUUCGCCCUCACAAAUUACAUUCGAGGUCCACACAUUACUAUCCCCUCUCGUCUUUUGCCCCUGCAGCUUCGAACGUUCCACGGAGCGGAUUCAGGAGACAGAAGAGAGGUUCGCGGCAGAGAGAGAGAUAGGGGAGUGGAUGGAGGAGGUCUCAACGGGGGCUAUAGUCCCUGCAGUGAAGCCAGAGACUAAGCUUUCAUCCGGAACUGACCAACCGGAGCGUGCCACCGCCACGGCUUCUUCUACCGGAGCCACCGCCAUCGCGGAUGGGGAAUUCUUGGAGGUGGACAAGGACUUCCUGUGUCCGAUUUGUAUGCAGAUUAUAAAAGACGCAUUCCUCACGGCCUGCGGGCAUAGCUUCUGCUACAUGUGCAUAGUUACUCAUCUUCGCAACAAGAACGAUUGCCCGUGCUGUGGCCAUUUCCUCACCACCAAUCAGAUUUUCCCUAAUUUAUUGCUCGGAAAGCUAUUGAAGAACUCUGCUUGUCAAAUAUCAAAAACGGCGUCACCCGUGGAUCAUUUUCUCCGUGCAUUGCAACAGGGGUGUGAAGUGCCAAUUAAGGAGCUGGAUACACUCUUGUCACUUCUUGCGGAGAAGAAGCGAAAAAUGGAGCAAGAAGAAGCGGAGAGAAAUAUGCAAAUACUACUGGAAUUCUUGCAGUAUUUAAAGAUGCGAAAAAUUGAUGAAUUAAAUGAGGUGCGAAAUGAUCUCCAGUUUAUAAAAGAGGACAUAGAUGCUGUAGACAGCCAUAGAUUGGAGUUGUAUCGUACAAGGGACAAGUUCUCUAUGAAAUUGAGAAUGCUUGGAGAAGGUUUAAGUGCAAGAAAACCGUGGACUGCAUUGGUUGAUAAGAACAGUAGUGGUUCCAUCUCCAGUUCUCACAAUUUAAGAGGAGGGAUGUCUUCAGGGAAUAUCCCAAACAAGAAAUUGGAUGUAAAGGCUCAAGUAAGCUCUCAUGGUCUUCAGAGAAAGGAUGCUUUAAGUGGAGUGGACUCACAUUUUGGUAGUCAAUCUAGCCUAUCGGUGGUAAGAAAGAAGCGGGUCCAUGCGCAGUUCAAUGACCUGCAAGAGUGUUACCUGCAAAAGCGACGUCAGUUGGCAAACCAACCACAUAAACAACAGCAAAGGGAUAAAACUGUCAUAAAUAAAGCUGGUUAUAGUGCAGGCCUUGCAGAAUUUCAAUCUGUUCUCAGUACCUUCACUCAAUACAGUCGGCUGAAGGUCAUUGCUGAAAUCAGGCACGGGGAUCUUUUUCACGCCGCCAAUAUUGUAUCAAGCAUAGAAUUUGAUCGCGAAGAUGAAUUGUUUGCCACUGCUGGAGUUUCUCGACGUAUCAAGAUUUUUGAUUUUUCUACAGUUGUCAAUGGGCCUGCAGAUAUACAGUGCCCUGUUGUGGAGAUGUCUACUCGUUCUAAACUGAGCUGCCUGAGCUGGAACAAAUAUGAUAAGCAUCAUAUUGCCAGUAGUGAUUACGAGGGAAUAGUGACAGUUUGGGAUGUGACAACUCGGCAGAGCGUGAUGGAAUAUGAAGAGCAUGAAAAACGAGCAUGGAGUGUUGAUUUUUCUCUCACAGAACCCUCAAUGCUUGUGUCUGGCAGCGAUGAUUGCAAGGUCAAAGUUUGGUGUACAAAUCAGGAGGCAAGUGUGCUGAACAUCGACAUGAAAGCAAAUAUAUGUUGUGUCAAAUAUAAUCCUGGAUCUAGCAAUUACAUUGCGGUUGGUUCAGCAGAUCAUCACAUCCACUAUUUUGAUAUAAGAAACAGUAGCCAGCCUCUGCAUGUGUUCAGUGGGCAUAAGAAAACUGUUUCAUACGUGAAGUUCUUGUCUAACAAUGAGCUUGCUUCUGCAUCUACAGAUAGCACAUUGCGGUUAUGGGAUGUGAAGGACAAUUUACCGGCUUUGAUGAUGAUGAUGUUGGAAGUUUGAUAUAGACGCGAGGGAGCACCACAGGCUUAAUGGUUGGCUUCUGACCAUCCUACCCAUGGGUCAAUCCUAUUCCUGUUGAACAAUCAAAAGAAAGAAAGAAAGAUCUAGAAAUAAGAUCACAAUCAAGUCAGUAUAGGAAGAGUCAUAUGUUGAAUGGCUAUUUUACAGAGGAAGAUUGUUUCUUGCAUUUAUUAUAAAUGUUUAUUUGGUAUGGCUGCUUUGUUGAACCUCCCCACUUGAAUGAAAGAAAUGGAUCUAUAAUGUCCUGAGCUUUCCACGUGCCAUACGAAAACAUUGAGUUCAAAGAGCCAAAGUGAGAUCCUUGGUUUCGUCUGAUGCUAUAUUGCUUUCCUUUGCUACGUUUACCCCUCUUAUAUGAUAUGUUGGUUCUGUCCAGGAAUCUAUCAUAGCUCACCAUAACAUGGAAUGAACAAACUGCAUAUUCAUUCUGAAUCAUUAGGAGUUUUAGCCUAUCUGCCAUUUCUUUGACUGCAUCUGCCGGUCAUGCUAGUAAUUAACUAAUUAUGUGCUAUCGUUGGUCAAGCAAGGACCCUGUAGAACGACAAUGAGAUGGAUUUGGGAUAGGUUUGCCAUUUCUUAUCCCCAUUUUGUCUGUCAAAUUAAUCCCCAUCCCUGCCCCAAAGUUUGGAUGGUGAUGGUGAUGUAGGCUAGCUGUAGGAAUUCAUGUUCUGGGGCUUCUUGUGGGUUUAAUUCACUGUUUCAAAGGUAAGAGUUUAGGAAUUAAGCAGUAGGGAUCCUUCCAUAUAUAGGGAUUCUCAACCAAAUUAAGUUGGCUCAAUUCUGAAGUGCUGCUCAAGGGGAAAAAAGAGGAGGUAAAUUGCAAAAGAUUAGGCAGAAACGAGAUGUAAUAAUGAUGGCUCUGUCUGAACGAAUCCUUUCAUAUUUUGGCAAAGCUAUUGAUGUCAAAGUUGUCUUUCCAACGGUUAUGCGGGUUGGCCCGAAGAUGCUGCAUGGCAGAUCAUAGAAGAAGUUAGUUGGUAGGAUGAGGGAAACAAAUUGGUAUGGCUAGGGAGAACGCGGGGGGGUACUCAAUCUGUCGUCCUUAAUUUUGAGUUUGUUUAAAACCACAUUUCUAUUUGCUUAACAAAUACAUUAGCAUAUACAGGUACGUACCUUUAGCGGGCACUCCAAUGAGAAAAACUUCGUUGGUCUUACAGUAAACAGUGACUAUAUUGCAUGCGGUAGCGAAACAAAUGAAGUAUAUGUCUACCACAAGGAGAUCUGUAAACCAGUGACAUGGCAUAGGUUUGGUUCACCCAAUACGGACGAUACUGAUGAGGAUGCAGGAUCUUACUUCAUCAGUGCUGUCUGCUGGAAGAGUGAUAGUCCUACAAUGCUGACUGCAAACAGCCAGGGUACGAUUAAAGUGUUAGUUCUGGCAACUUGAACAUGAAGUUGAUAAAAGAUAAUAGCACAGUAGGAAAAAGGAAGAAAUUGGUUGAGACUUGGACACUCAAUUGUCAGUAAAUGGUGUAUUUACACUGUAAAUAUAUAAAUAUAUAGUGGGAAUGUAGAUGUUGUUAGGUUUUACACCA